AGAGUUUGAUCCUGGCUCAGGAUGAACGCUAGCGGCAGGCUUAACACAUGCAAGUCGAGGGGUAACAGGGAUUGCUUGCAAUCCGCUGACGACCGGCGCACGGGUGCGUAACGCGUAUGCAACCUACCUUCUACAGGGGGAUAGUCAAUAGAAAUGUUGAAUAAUACCCCAUACGAUCUUUGAAUAGCAUUAUUUAAAGAAGAAAGCUCCGGCGGUAGAAGAUGGGCAUGCGUCCUAUUAGUUAGUUGGUAAGGUAACGGCUUACCAAGACUUCGAUAGGUAGGGGUCCUGAGAGGGAGACCCCCCACACUGGUACUGAGACACGGACCAGACUCCUACGGGAGGCAGCAGUGAGGAAUAUUGGACAAUGGAGGCAACUCUGAUCCAGCCAUGCCGCGUGCAGGAAGACUGCCCUAUGGGUUGUAAACUGCUUUUAUACAGGAAGAAAUAUACCUACGUGUAGGUAUUUGACGGUACUGUACGAAUAAGGAUCGGCUAACUCCGUGCCAGCAGCCGCGGUAAUACGGAGGAUCCAAGCGUUAUCCGGAAUCAUUGGGUUUAAAGGGUCCGUAGGCGGUCUUUUAAGUCAGAGGUGAAAUCCUACAGCUCAACUGUAGAAUUGCCUUUGAUACUGAAAGACUUGAGUUAUUGUGAAGUAGUUAGAAUGUGUGGUGUAGCGGUGAAAUGCAUAGAGAUCACACAGAAUACCGAUUGCGAAGGCAGAUUACUAACAAUAUACUGACGCUGAGGGACGAAAGCGUGGGUAGCGAACAGGAAUAG
rnacentral:rRNA from 1 species